AUGGCAGCAGCAGCUCUUCCCCCGCCGCUGCUCCCGACGCCACCCAGGAGCGAGAUGCUGCCGAUCCUCCCGACGCCGCCUAGGAGCAAGAUGCUGCCGCUGUUGCCGACGCCGCACGGUGUCAUCCUCACCAUGCUGGUGUCCGCCAUGGCAGGCCGCGCUGACUUCGUCCAGAGGUGGGACUGGAACAAGAAGUGCAAGAAGCCAUGCAGCUCCAUCUCCUCGUCCUCGUCCUCGUCGUCGGAGGGCAGCGGGAGCACCGGUCGUGCCGACUCCGUCGAGAGGUGGGACUGGAACAAGAAGUGCAAGAAGCCAUGCGGCUCCAUCUGCUCCUCGUCGUCGUCGUCGUCGUCAGAGGGUAGCGAGAGCACCGGUCGCGCCGACUCCGGCGACAGGCGGGACUCGGACAAGAAAUACAACAAGAUGCCCCGCACCGCCGUGUCAUCGUCGUCUUCAUCGUCAUACAGCGCCGGGAGCCCCGGGCGCGCCGACUCCGUCGAACGCUGGGACAGCAAGAAGAAACUCGCGACCUCGUGCAGCGCGUCUCUCCAGCCCACAGAUUGCGGCCGCCAUGACGGCAACGGCAAGCGCCUGCCUAGCCCUAGCCGCGCAUCCUCGGCGGAGCGCUGGGACUUGCACAAGAAGCCCCGCCCGGAGCAGACGGAGAAGCUGCCUCAGACUUCAAAGACGCCGGCGCUAGCCACGACACCGCAGAAGGCCAAGUUCGCCGGGCCCAACUUUCACGCCUCGCCGGAUCCGAGCAUGCUCCCCAUGCCGCCCUUCUUUCUGCUGGCACGUUCGCGUGCGCUCUGUACAAGUCAUUAA
rnacentral:rRNA from 1 species